GUAAAUAACACUAGAGGAGGCAUUGUAAUCUUAAUUCAGUAAAAAAAAGGGAACGCGACUAUUGGGGGGCAAAUUCAAGUCCCGGAUAUGUAUUCGUGUUCCAAUUGGUGACGAGUUUCAAAUCAGCCAAUGAGAGUAUGAUUUUAUAUCCGGGACUUGAAUUUGCCCCCCCAUUAGCUGCGUUCCCAAUUUUUAAACUCGAUGCCUCCUCUAGUGUUAUUUAUAAUCUCU